CAAUAUGCCCUUUACCUCAGUGACCUGUGGCUUGGGUGUCUCUGUUCCCUGGGAAAGAAAUGAGAGGAGGUAUAAGUCACAGAGGAGGCACAUGUUAAGGGCUGCUAAGUGUGGCAAAGGAGCAGCCCGUGGGGUGUUCCGCAGAAGCUGAGAUACGCUGUGUUGUGGGAAGACAAGGGCAGGCAAGUGGAGGGUGAGCUGCAGUGUGCUCUGCAGAGAGCCAGCACCGUGGGUUUGUGCUGCAGAGACGGCUCUGUGGCUGAAGACUGUGGAGACAUCAGUCACCUGAGUGAGCUGUGGAGAGGUACUGGUGACCAACGAUCUCUGAGGAAGAAGGAGACCCACAGCCUACUGUAAGUGACGGAGCUGGAAUAGAAGCAGUAACAUUCUUACACGAAGACAGAUCACUUCCAGAACUGGUGAAUCCAUGAUGAAAGAAGAGGAGAAGAAUCAGAGGACCUGAGAACAGCAGUCAUCUGAGCUUGUCUUCUGCCUUCUCUUGGUGCUCUGAGGAUAACUGUAAGCCUACUGAUUUAGAUAAUGAAAACUGAACUACACUGUGUAACUCAGAUUACUUAGCUGCACUUUGUUUAACUGCGUGUCUGUUUCCUUGGGUUGUUCCAAUGCUCUAGAAAAGCUUUCCCACACCACAUGGAGGGAGGGAGGUGCUGAUGACCCAAUAUCAGGAUGGUACAUUUAAGGGAUUCAACUUAGUGCUAUGGGUUCCACCCACCUGCUCCAUGUGGGAUAUGGACUUACUUUGAAGGGAGCCCAGAGGCUUAUUUCAAUGAAAGUGGGCAGCCUCAAAGUAGAGCACUGAAGGAUAAUUAAUGUAGACUACACAAAUUCCACCUACACAGAUGCCUCUCCUGCCCACAUCCACCCACCCACAUAUAGUAAAUGAUCCCCCUGAGUUCCAACUCCUUUAGAUUAAGAUAAUUGAACCAAAACACACUAGAACCUGGUUGUUUCGAGUUCUACUUGUGUUAAGAGUGAUUUCCCAAAAGGUAAUCAUGUAGUCUUUUACAUUUUGAACAAUGCUGUCUUGGGAGGUGGGGGAGUAUCCUCUGACAUGGGCUGUGUUACAGUCCUCACUUCACAGGUGCAGAAGCAGAUGUUUCCAUCAGUUCAGUAAUCUGUUCAAAGUCACAGGGUUAGGGAGUGCUGAAGAGCUAGCUGAAUUGGGAUUUUUCUGUGGCCUUUUCUGCUUUAUCUUUGCUGGAAAAGACAGAUCUUAUUGUUCAUGUGACCCACACUAUGGAAUGUUUGGUCCUCUUUACAUUUAUAUGCUCUAGGCCUCUUAUUGAACAAUUAAUAACUGUUCUGAACCACUGUGGAGAGACUUAUGUUAGGGCCUGCGAAAAGUCCCCAAAGACUACCAGUCACGAUGCAAUUAACAAGAGCGUUUACUAUACCACAUGCAUGUGGAGUUGCUCACCUGUUCAAAAUGGCAACAACCCUGAGAGAAGCUCUCAGGCUCCUUUUAAGAACAGCUGAAGGAAUAGAACCAGAACCAGAACGACAACAAAAUAACAGAAAAACCCAGAAUGUGUGAAGAAGCAAUGAUUAUAACAAGAGAAGAAUAAAAAGAUUGAAUCCUUCCUCCAAAACAGUAUAGACUUUCAGCUACAAAGCAUUUUCUAAUAUUAUGCUUUGUGAAGGAUGAAUGUAUAUAUGAUUAUAUGCAUAAAUGCAUUUACAUGUGUAAAUGGGAGGCACAACAUUGUCAUGAUUUGGAAAAUGACACAAAGUAAAAAAACAUUAAUGAAUCAUGUACUAUCCUAUAUGGCAGAAACCUGUUACAGUGGGGGAAAAGCAAUAAUGUUUCUUCUGUUUGUCAUGUUUUUAAAACUGCUUUAUUUAAAACUAAAUCACCAAUUUUAACACUGGCUGGAGAUUUGCUUUUCUCUUAAUGCCAUUUAAUAGGAGAAACUCAAUGUAGGUAUGGCUUGGACUCUUGUAGGCCAUCAUGAUGUGCAUAAAGUGGUGGCUGAUCUUGACUUUCAACUUGAGUUGAUAAAGAAAAUCUUACUGUGCUCUGAACAUCCCUGGGGACAAUGAGGGAAUAAAGAAAGGACAGACACAUGGAAAGCUAGGAUCUAGUGGGCUGUGCUCUCCCUGGUGAAGGGCACCAACAGCAACAGAACCCAGAAGCUCGGUGUAUUCAUUUACUUAUACCUUAUUAUGUGCAGCAGAACAAGGAGGCAGGCUAUGGUAUACAGGUGGGCAAGGGGACAGCUUAGCUUAUUUCAGUAGAUCCGUGUAGAGUGGAGUCUCAGGCUGUAAACAUCCUGAAGGAGGAAGAAGUAAUUGGUAGUUUCUGUGCACAACGGUCAGCCAUUGUAAACACUCAUACUUGGACCAGAGUAAGACUUUGCUAUCCUUCUGAGCCACAUCUGGGGAAGGCUCUGUCACUUCCAUAGGUCUGAGGCAUUGGGGUCCUUUGUAUGGUUAUGCCCAUGUCAAACAAUACACGUUAACUCAAGACUUCAUCCAUUCUCCACAGAAACCGAGGAGAUUAUAAAGUACACUUCAUGGUGAGUCUGAGGGUCUUUUUCAAAGGAGAGAAACUAUGGAGAAAGACUUGAGUUAACUUGCACCAUCCUACAGCCUGGAGACCCAAUUGGAAUAAAAGGAAGAGGAGGGAGUAGCCCGUGGGUGUUACGGUGUGAGGUACUCCAUCAACCCCCUUUUUCAACAACAGGCCCACACUGCUGUAACUAUGUGAAAAAUAAGUAUUUUCUCCCUGAGGUUAUUUUGCUCCAGUACUUUGUCACUGUCAUAGUCUGUCAAGUGCACAGUGCUCAGCAUUCAUUCCUAAUGGUGGAUAACAGGAAAACCAGGGCUCAGAACUACUAGAAUUCUGCUCCUCUUGUGUUGAAACUCUUGAACCAUAACUUAAGAUGCACACACAUACAAGAAUAGUAUUUAACAUUCUAGAGGUGCUCCAAGCCAUACAGCACCUCACAUGUGCCAUUAUGUUGAAAGGACACAAUACAUUCAAUUUUACAGUUUAUUAAUCUAUUUCACCUAAACAAAAAUUAUCAUUUGAAUAGUACCAAGUGUUUCGGGUAUUUUAUUAAAAAAAAUGUGGCAAGAAUGGUUAACAUAAGAUCUAUUCUUUUUAAAAUAUAUAUAUUUUAAAUUUAGCAUAGAAGGUAUUAGAUAGAUAUCAUUAUGCCAUUUUCAAACAAUUUGCUUUAGUGAUUUUCUUUCUCCCGGAGCUCUCCAAAAUCCCUGCUUCCUUAAUCCCUUCUUGUAAGCCCCCCCCCAUUUCUCCUGUGUUCCAUGUGCCCCUUUGUCUACCCCGUCUUUCUUCAUCACCUGUAUUUAUCCUCUUUUGAUCUCAUUUCUAGUCUUUUAGGCUUUACACACACACACACACACACACACACACACACACACACACACGCGCGUAUACAUAACAGGUUAAGAUCUGCACAUAAGAGACAAUUUGUGGUUUUGGUUUUCUGUGUUUGGGUUACUUUUGCUUAAUAUGUUUUCCAGAUCUAUCCAGUUCCUGAAAUUUUCAUAAUUUUAUUUUUCUUUGCAGCUGAAUACAGUUCCAUUGUGUCAAUGUAUCACAUGUUCAUUAUCCAUAUGUUGAUGAACAAGAGGUUCCUGUUGGCUGUUGGACGUGUAGGACUUCACACUCCAAUGCCCCUGCCCCCCCUCCAGCACAGACUUCUCCUUACAAGUCACUCUUGUGUUUCAGUUUGACUGCUGUAGUUCCCGUCUACCCUGCCCUUUGAAGCAUUCCCUCAGUAUGGCACAGAAAUCCACAAAUAAUUCACAGUUUCUUAGUCCCAGCCCAAGUGUCUGGAUGCCUUAGCCCAGCACUACAGGCUCCUGCUUGCUUAAGAUCCAGCAAGAGGAAGGACCAGAUGCCUCACUACUUUUCCCAGGUCGGAUGAUCCCCUGGUGACCCCCAAACUUGCUGAAUGUGGUUUAGAAAGAAGGGAAAUGUAUCUUAUGAAACAGGAUUCAUGCUCACAAACCUUUGGAGCACAUGACUCCAGGGAGGAGAGGCCUGGCUUUGUCCUUUGUCUGCAGGGGCUGGGUCCUUGAGCAUGGACAAAUCUUGCUUCACUUCUUUGGAUAUCACUUGGAAGACAACCCAGGUGAGCUGUCAUUAUCUCCUCAUGCAAGAUGGGAACAGCAUCAGCUCUGUGGGCUGGAGGAAUGAAAUAACCUCAUCUAGAUGUGAUGCUCAGGACAAAUCCAGGCACGCAGUGAUCACUCCCUGGUGUUUGGAUGCUCUCAGUUUCUGUGACUCCUUCUCAAUAGAAUGCCCUCUCCAACAGCUCACAUGGAUUCCUGGGGACCUCUGAGCUGGCUAGCUACAUGAGCUGCUCUUUCUUUCCAUCUGCAUUGUGAAAUUUGGCCAUCAUGGAAUUUUUAAUUAGAAGAGCAAGGGGUCACUUACUGAAUGGGUGUCCCUGGAUUUGUACUGUCUAGGCCCCAGAGGUUUGACAGUCUGUGGCAAAUUGAUUUAACAGAUGUGUAUUGAUGGCAGUUUCUCAGUGAGCACUGUCCUCAAUUAAUUAAUCACCAGGCAAUUUAAUCUAAUUGAAUGCUACUGCCACACACAGGAAAGUUUUGUUUAUAAUCCUUGAAUCAUCCCAGUUUAAAUUAAGUCAUCAAAAUGCUCUGUUCCUAACCAUUUUUCCAGCUGAAUGUGCCUAAAAGGACAUGGUGCUCUGCAGGGCGUCUUUCUGAUAUGAGUUUGUGUUUCUUUAAUGUCCUCAGGUUAAUCAUUUUCAGUCACUGUUUGAACUCCUUCCUGCCAUUGCCUUGAAAAGCAUUUGCAGUUCAUUUGCAGGCUGCUGAGGGAAGCUGAUGAGGUGGACAUAAAAAAUGGGAGCGAAGAUCAUGAGGUCCUUGUUGAGGAUUAGCAAACAAUGUUGCUCAGUGUUGUUGAUCAACAGGUCACCAGUGAAAGGAGCAGUGUCAGGGCCGGAGGAGUCUCCUGUCAGCUGUUUAGGAGACAGGAGUUCCAGGAAUGUACGGGAACAAGCAGAUGGUGCAAUCCCGGGUAGACAAGUUGUUGACCCAAGGGCUCCUUUGUCUCGUGGAUCUCUGAGAAACAACCAACUUCAUUAGCUCUGCCCUCCCCAGAAAGCCCUAAAUGUGUGUGCAAACACAGAAUGCAGCUCUGCAGAUAGCCUGAGCGUCAGAGGCACCAUUAGCACACUAAGCCCAAAUAGCUUGUCCCCUUCCUUCACAAUGUAGAGUCACCUCCUGCCUUGGAGUAGGGCAAGUGGGUUUUGGUCAAGCACUAUGAGGUGUUUGGGGUAGGGAGGCAGCUUUUGAGGAGGAGAGAUUCUUCAGAGAUCCACGUAAGGCUUGAAUCAGAAGCCAAGGUCACCGCAGCUGACACUGCAGAUUUGUGUUCCUUGAGCAGACUGAGCUCCCCUGGAAGUUCCUGGCUGCAGCAGAGUGAACCUUGGCAUGGAUUAGCUAUCCUCACUUCCAGAAGUGUGCAGUCUAGCCUGGGAUUGCACUGUCUUUUUGUCUUUAAAAAACUCUCCUUCGGAGCUCUUUCUGUAAUGGAAGCACAAAGUAUAUGCUUUGUUCUCUCUGGCCAUCUGCAAGGAUCUGUCCAACACCCAUGGGAACAAAUGGCUUGAUGUUUGGCCAGGUAGAGAGCUGGAUGUCUAGGAAGAGAGUGAGGUAAAAUGAAAGGGGUACAGACCUGGGUGAUCAGGUACCAAGCUUGCAUUCCUCCCCUGCUCCAGCCUCUGGACCACUUGAGCUACUUGGCCCAUAAGGUAGUGGGCACCGGCAGGUUAGGCAUUAAGUUCUCUGGAGGUCAUUUUUAUGCUCUAAAGGCAUGAGAGGAUAAGGGUUGGGUCUCUUGCUGAUACUUCACUGUUGGAGAAUAUUAUUUUAAGGUGUGCUACUUUUGUUUAUGCUACAUUUGUUUAACUUUGUGAAGCUG